GACGAACCGUGCAAACGUUGUUCGGAAUCACUGGGCUUAAAGGGCGCGUAGGCGGGUCGUCAAGUCCGGGGUGAAAUCUUUCGGCUCAACCGGAAAAGUGCCUCGGAUACUGGCGGCCUGGAGGGAGGUAGGGGCAUGCGGAACUUCCGGUGGAGCGGUGAAAUGCGUUGAUAUCGGAAGGAACGCCGGUGGCGAAAGCGGCGUGCUGGACCUCUUCUGACGCUGAGGCGCGAAAGCUAGGGGAG
rnacentral:rRNA from 1 species